UGGGGAAUAUUGGACAAUGGGGGCAACCCUGAUCCAGCCAUGCCGCGUGAAUGAUGAAGGCCUUCGGGUUGUAAAGUUCUUUUGGCGGGGACGAUGAUGACUGUACCCGCAGAAUAAGCUCCGGCUAACUUCGUGCCAGCAGCCGCGGUAAUACGAAGGGAGCAAGCGUUGUUCGGAAUUACUGGGCGUAAAGGGCGCGUAGGCGGUUUAACAAGUCAGGCGUGAAAGCCCCGGGCUCAACCCGGGAAUAGCGUUUGAGACUGUUUUUCUAAGAGUUCGGAAGAGGUAAGUGGAAUUCCCAAUGUAGCAGUGAAAUGCGUAGAUAUUGGGAAGAACAUCAGUGGCGAAGGCGGCCCUCUGGUCCAGUACUGACACUCAAGUGCGAAAGCGUGGGGAGCAAACAGGAUUAGAUACCCCUGUAGUCCCUGAGCGGGCUGGCAAGGCGCAU
rnacentral:rRNA from 1 species